rnacentral:rRNA from 1 species
UACGUAGGUGGCAAGCGUCGUCCGGAUUUAUUGGGUUUAAAGGGUGCGUAGGCGGCUCCUUAAGUCAGUGCUGAAAUACUCUAGCUUAACUAGAGGGGUGGCAUUGAUACUGAGGAGCUUGAGUGUAGUCGAGGUAGGCGGAAUUGACGGUGUAGCGGUGAAAUGCUUAGAUAUCGUCAAGAACACCGACAGUGUAGACAGCUUACUAGGCUACAACUGACGCUGAGGCACGAAAGUGUGGGGAUCAAACAGG